GAUGAACGCUGGCGGCGUGCCUAAUACAUGCAAGUCGAGCGAACGGACGAGAAGCUUGCUUCUCUGAUGUUAGCGGCGGACGGGUGAGUAACACGUGGAUAACCUACCUAUAAGACUGGGAUAACUUCGGGAAACCGGAGCUAAUACCGGAUAACAUUUUGAACCGCAUGGUUCAAAAGUGAAAGACGGUCUUGCUGUCACUUAUAGAUGGAUCCGCGCUGCAUUAGCUAGUUGGUAAGGUAACGGCUUACCAAGGCAACGAUGCAUAGCCGACCUGAGAGGGUGAUCGGCCACACUGGAACUGAGACACGGUCCAGACUCCUACGGGAGGCAGCAGUAGGGAAUCUUCCGCAAUGGGCGAAAGCCUGACGGAGCAACGCCGCGUGAGUGAUGAAGGUCUUCGGAUCGUAAAACUCUGUUAUUAGGGAAGAACAUAUGUGUAAGUAACUGUGCACAUCUUGACGGUACCUAAUCAGAAAGCCACGGCUAACUACGUG
rnacentral:rRNA from 1 species